AUUGAACGCUGGCGGCAGGCCUAACACAUGCAAGUCGAGCGGAUGAAGGGAGCUUGCUCCUGGAUUCAGCGGCGGACGGGUGAGUAAUGCCUAGGAAUCUGCCUGGUAGUGGGGGAUAACGUCUGGAAACGGGCGCUAAUACCGCAUACGUCCUGAGGGAGCAAGUGGGGGAUGUUCGGACCUCACGCUCUCAGAUGAGCCUAGGUCGGAUUAGCUAGUUGGUGGGGUAAAGGCCUACCAAGGCGACGAUCCGUAACUGGUCGGAGAGGAUGAUCAGUCACACUGGAAGUGAGACACGGUCCAGACUACUACGGGAGGCAGCAGUGGGGAAUAUUGGACAAUGGGCGGAAGCCUGAUCCAGCCAUGCCGAGUGUGUGAAGAAGGUCUUCGGAUUGUAAAGCACUUUAAGUUGGGAGGAAGGGCAGUAAGUUAAUACCUUGCUGUUUUGACGUUACCAACAGAAUAAGCACCGGCUAACUUCGUG
rnacentral:rRNA from 1 species